rnacentral:tRNA from 1 species
GCCGGGGUGGCGGAAUUGGCAGACGCGUAGCGUUGAGGGCGCUAUGGACAUCUUUGUCUGUGUGGGUUCAAAUCCCACUCCCGGCACCA